AACGAUGUAGUCUAUUAAGGAUUCUGAGUUUGCGUCUCAGGGGAGGAGUAUUUAUUCUUUUCGUUA
rnacentral:tRNA from 1 species